CCUGUACCUGGAAGCAUAUACAGUCUGUAUACUGUAUAAAAAGGAUCACAUUUUCUUAUGACCAUGCAUGCGUUCAUCACUGCAAUCACUCUCAAGAUUUUCUUUGGAUAUAUCAUCAUGAAGAUUUCAGUGAUUGCCACUGUGGCUCUGCUAUCUCUCCUGGCCCUGGCCUCUUCUGCUUCUAAUCGUUAUUAUUAUCAGGAGAUACUUGCCCAGUUGCAAAAAGAUGUUAAACAGGCCGAUAAGCAUGCUAUGGCUGAACAAAAAGAUGGCCCAGGUAUGACCGUCCAGUUUGCCUAUUAUGGUUUAUCCUGUGUUAAGUACGAGCUCAUGGACUUUGAUCAAAUGGUUAGCACUAAAUGGGUCAGGAGUUUGUGCAAUGGAAGGACCAGCUGCUCUGGAAUUGUAUCUACUGCAGUUCUCACGGAUCCUUACUACGGUUGUGCAAAAGACUUUCUUGCCAUUGCAGAAUGCCCCAAUGGGGACGUCAUAACUGACUUCUUGUCAAAGGAGGCUGAGGGGACGACGUUUUCUCUGCAUUGCUGAGUAUAUAUAUAUAGCUGAACUGCAUGCAUGUGUAUAGCUGCUAUUUCAUUAGAACUUUUUAACUGA